rnacentral:rRNA from 1 species
UACAGAGGUCUCAAGCGUUGUUCGGAUUCAUUGGGCGUAAAGGGUGCGUAGGCGGCGCGGUAAGUCGGGUGUGAAAUCUUGGAGCUUAACUCCGAAACUGCAUUCGAUACUGCCGUGCUUGAGGACUGGAGAGGAGACUGGAAUUUACGGUGUAGCGGUGAAAUGCGUAGAGUAUCGGGAGGAACACCAGUGGCGAAGGCGACUACCUGGCCUGUUCUUGACGCUGAGGCGCGAAAAGCUAGGGGAGCAAACGGGG